UCGGAAACAUCCCGAGGUUUCAGUACCCACAACCUAUCGGUUGCAGCGCGGAUGGAAAAUGACUUAUUUCCAUUCACCGCAGCAGCAUGACGCCAAGACAACGGGCCUGUAGCUCAGUUGGUUAGAGCACCGUCUUGAUAAGGCGGGGGUCGAUGGUUCGAAUCCAUCCAGACCCACCAGGAAGCGUAGGUUAGGCCACAGCGAGAAGCGAGCGAGGCAAGGCGCGAGGGGCCGACGUUUACCGUGGCGUAAACGAGGCCCCGAGCAACGCAGCAUCGCGAAGCUAAUCGGGGCUGUAGCUCAAUUGGGAGAGCGCCUGCUUUGCAAGCAGGAGGUCGUCGGUUCGAUCCCGUCCAGCUCCACCAACAACGUAAUACCUAUUGGUUGCACACUGCACAGCGUUCAACUCUGGGCUUCUGCCUGGAGUCCAAAGUUGAAAGCUGUACUGUUCUUUAACAAUUCGGAAGGCAAGGGUUCAUCUGGACUUGAUGAGAGUCCGGGUGGACAUAGGGUUGAGUUGUAUCUUGCUGUCAUUCUUUAAAAGGGGAAUGACGGUGGCGCAAACACGCCAUGACAGUGUGUCCUGUAACAAGGGCUCACAGUUAUGG
rnacentral:misc_RNA from 1 species